UUGUUAUUUGAAGAAAUUCUCUGGGAAAGAGUUCUUUUCUAAAGCAAAUAUCACCUCACAGUUUAUCAUUCUGUUAUUCUAGGUUUCAUGGGCUGACUCAUUUUACUUAGAGCAAUCUAAUUACACUGACCUUUGUUGAGAGUUGGGAUUGAUGAGGUCCCAGAUCGAUCCCCAUCAAGUCCAGUUUCCUUUCACUGGUCUCUGGACAAGGACUGCCACAGCCCCGGCUGCCUGAUGCAAACGCACACCUUUGGUCUUCAGGGGCAAUGGUUUUACCAUCUUCAUAAAAAUACUUGGAGGACAGCUGCAUCCACAGACAUCAAAUACGUGAUGACUUUUUUGACCAUUCUUCUCAGUCUUUUCUUUCCCAAAUAAGCACUUUCAGAUACGGUUCAAGUGACCUAAAAAACAAGAGUGAGUUUUGGGACAGAUUCUGCCUGUGCCCCUGAGAAAUGAUGCCACCACAAGCUGACUUUCAGGAUUUUUGAAGUAAUGUACUUUAUACAGGUAAACAUUUGAUGAUUUGCUGACUUAUAUUUGGCUUAUAAUGAUACAACAUAAAAGGUGAGCAUAUACGUAAUUCAUCCUGGUUCUGCAAGCCUGAGGUCUGGCAAUGUUAACAAGGAGAAUGGAAUGAAGAGCUGCAGCUAAGACUAAAAUAUAACGACUUUUCGUCCUCCUUUUUCCCUCUUUCUUCAACUUCUGAUUGUUUUGUUUAAAUACCAGAAUAAGAUAGAAUGCCUGUGAUUGAAAAUAUGUAUCAGACCUGUAAUCUCAGCACUUUGGGAGGCUGAGUUGGGUGGAUCACCUGAGGUCAAGAGUUUGAGACCACCCUGGCCACAAAAAUCAGCUGGACAUGAUGGCGCACACCUGUAAUCCCAGCUACUCAGGAGGCUGAGGCAGGAGAAUCUCUUGAACCUGGGAAGUAGAGGUUUGCAGUGAGCCAAGAUCAUGCCAUUGCACUUCAGCCUGGGCAACAAGAGCGAAACUCCAUCUCAAAUAAUAAUAAUAAAGCUUAUGUUAUUAUCCUUGACACCUAUUCAAAAUCUUUUUAAUUUUCCACCAUCUAAAAGAGAUACUAGUUAACUAUAUAAAACUCAGGCAAUAAAAUACAUUUAGCUCUUUCUAAUCAGGCAGUGAGACAUAAACUGUUGGGGCAUACCGCUCGGGGCCACUGCUGUUUGAGAUUAAAACACUGGCAUUGCGGUCUGUACGGAGAGCCUUCAUAUUCUUGCUUCCUUUCCCAGUCACUGCCCCAGCGUUCUUGCUCUUCUCUUCCAUUUAACAUUUUGGCAGUCAGAGUCAGGGCUGUAUUCCUUUCUGUUUCUAGAGUAUAGGUCUGAUAUCUACCACAAAAUAUUAAAUUUACCGAGUAGGAGGUGAAUGGUGGGGGAAG
rnacentral:lncRNA from 1 species